AGAGUUUGAUCCUGGCUCAGGCCGAACGCUGGCGGCGUGCCUAAUACAUGCAAGUAGAACGCUGAAGAGAGGAGCUUGCUCUUCUUGGAUGAGUUGCGAACGGGUGAGUAACGCGUAGGUAACCUGCCUUGUAGCGGGGGAUAACUAUUGGAAACGAUAGCUAAUACCGCAUAACAAUGGAUGACACAUGUCAUUUAUUUGAAAGGGGCAAUUGCUCCUCUACAAGAUGGACCUGC
rnacentral:rRNA from 1 species